rnacentral:rRNA from 1 species
AGUGAACGCUGGCGGUAGGCCUAACACAUGCAAGUCGAACGGCAGCACAGUAAGAGCUUGCUCUUACGGGUGGCGAGUGGCGGACGAGUGAGGAAUACAUCGGAAUCUACUUUUUCGUGGGGGAUAACGUAGGGAAACUUACGCUAAUACCGCAUACGACCUACGGGUGAAAGCAGGGGAUCUUCGGACCUUGCGCGAUUGAAUGAGCCGAUGUCGGAUUAGCUAGUUGGCGGGGUAAAGGCCCACCAAGGCGACGAUCCGUAGCUGGUCUGAGAGGAUGAUCAGCCACACUGGAACUGAGACACGGUCCAGACUCCUACGGGAGGCAGCAGUGGGGAAUAUUGGACAAUGGGCGCAAGCCUGAUCCAGCCAUACCGCGUGGGUGAAGAAGGCCUUCGGGUUGUAAAGCCCUUUUGUUGGGAAAGAAAAGCAGCAGGUUAAUACCCCGCUGUUCUGACGGUACCCAAAGAAUGAGCACCGGCUAACUUCGUG